AUUGAACGCUGGCGGCAGGCUUAACACAUGCAAGUCGAGCGGAGCGAGGGUGCUUGCACCUUAGCUUAGCGGCGGACGGGUGAGUAAUGCUUAGGAAUCUGCCUAUUAGUGGGGGACAACAUUCCGAAAGGGAUGCUAAUACCGCAUACGCCCUACGGGGGAAAGCAGGGGAUCACUUGUGACCUUGCGCUAAUAGAUGAGCCUAAGUCGGAUUAGCUAGUUGGUGGGGUAAAGGCCUACCAAGGCGACGAUCUGUAGCGGGUCUGAGAGGAUGAUCCGCCACACUGGGACUGAGACACGGCCCAGACUCCUACGGGAGGCAGCAGUGGGGAAUAUUGGACAAUGGGGGGAACCCUGAUCCAGCCAUGCCGCGUGUGUGAAGAAGGCCUUUUGGUUGUAAAGCACUUUAAGCGAGGAGGAGGCGCUCUAGGAUAAUACCCUAGAUGCGUGGACGUACUCGCAGAA
rnacentral:rRNA from 1 species